rnacentral:rRNA from 1 species
GCAGUAGCCGCGGUAAUACGUAGGGUGCAAGCGUUAAUCGGAAUUACUGGGCGUAAAGCGUGCGCAGGCGGUGUUGUAAGACUGAUGUGAAAUCCCCGGGCUCAACCUGGGAACUGCAUUGGUGACUGCAACGCUGGAGUGCGGCAGAGGGGGAUGGAAUUCCGCGUGUAGCAGUGAAAUGCGUAGAUAUGCGGAGGAACACCGAUGGCGAAGGCAAUCCCCUGGGCCUGCACUGACGCUCAUGCACGAAAGCGUGGGGAGCAAACAGGAUUAGAUACCCCCGUAGUCCCUGUCUCUUAUAC